GCCCAGAUAGCUCAGUUGGUAGAGCAGCGGACUGAAAAUCCGCGUGUCGCUGGUUCGAUUCCGGCUCUGGGCACCA
rnacentral:tRNA from 2 species